AGAGUUUGAUCAUGGCUCGAGGACGAACGCUGGCGGCGUGCUUAACACAUGCAAGUCGAACGGUAAGGCCCUUCGGGGUACACGAGUGGCGAACGGGUGAGUAACACGUGGGUGAUCUGCCCUGCACUUCGGGAUAAGCCUGGGAAACUGGGUCUAAUACCGGAUAGGACCAUGGACUUCACGGUUUGUGGUGGAAAGCUUUUGCGGUGUGGGAUGGGCCCGCGGCCUAUCAGCUUGUUGGUGGGGUAAUGGCCUACCAAGGCGACGACGGGUAGCCGGCCUGAGAGGGUGUCCGGCCACACUGGGACUGAGAUACGGCCCAGACUCCUACGGGAGGCAGCAGUGGGGAAUAUUGCACAAUGGGCGCAAGCCUGAUGCAGCGACGCCGCGUGAGGGAUGACGGCCUUCGGGUUGUAAACCUCUUUCAAUAGGGACGAAGCGCAAGUGACGGUACCUAUAGAAGAAGCACCGGCCAACUACGUG
rnacentral:rRNA from 1 species